UGGAACUUAGCGAAGACGCAAAUGUUGUCGAACAAAAUAGAUGAAAACAACUCAGAGAGUACCAAAAACCAGUGUUGAUUGUUUGGAUGCGAUGGUCAGAGACCAGUUGACGAAAUUAUGUAUCACAAUAAUCAAGAAAUCUCUACGGAAGCCAUCAUUCACAACUAUCAGGUCAAAUUAGACAGACUGUGCCGGCGGUUAGCGUAUCAAGUGAAACAGCACGUAGUUCCACCGGCUGGAUGCGGUCAAAUGGCCCGGUGGCACUAAUUUUUUUGUGGUAAA